rnacentral:rRNA from 1 species
UCUUUGGAGAGUUUGAUCCUGGCUCAGGACGAACGCUGGCGGCGUGCCUAAUACAUGCAAGUCGAGCGGACCGGGCGGGAGCUUGCUUCCGCUUGGUUAGCGGCGGACGGGUGAGUAACAC